UGCUUUGUUCGCUGUGGGUGUUGU
rnacentral:piRNA from 1 species